rnacentral:rRNA from 1 species
GCAGCGACGCCGCGUGAGGGACGAAGGCCUUCGGGUUGUAACCUCUUUCAGCAGGGAAGAAGCGAAAGUGACGGUACCUGCAGAAGAAGCGCCGGCUAACUACGUGCCAGCAGCCGCGGUAAUACGUAGGGCGCAAGCGUUAUCCGGAAUUAUUGGGCGUAAAGAGCUCGUAGGCGGUUUGUCGCGUCUGCUGUGAAAGCCCGGGGCUCAACCCCGGGUCUGCAGUGGGUACGGGCAGACUAGAGUGAUGUAGGGGAGACUGGAAUUCCUGGUGUAGCGGUGAAAUGCGCAGAUAUCAGGAGGAACACCGAUGGCGAAGGCAGGUCUCUGGGCAUUAACUGACGCUGAGGAGCGAAAGCAUGGGGAGCGAACAGGAUUAGAUACCCUGGUAGUCCAUGCCGUAAACGUUGGGCACUAGGUGUGGGGGACAUUCCACGUUUUCCGCGCCGUAGCUAACGCAUUAAGUGCCCCGCCUGGGGAGUACGGCCGCAAGGCUAAAACUCAAAGGAAUUGACGGGGGCCCGCACAAGCGGCGGAGCAUGCGGAUUAAUUCGAUGCAACGCGAAGAACCUUACCAAGACUUGACAUGAACCGGAAAGGCCUGGAAACAGGUCCCCCACUUGUGGCCGGUUUACAGGUGGUGCAUGGUUGUCGUCAGCUCGUGUCGUGAGAUGUUGGGUUAAGUCCCGCAACGAGCGCAACCCUCGUUCUAUGUUGCCAGCGCGUAAUGGCGGGGACUCAUAGGAGACUGCCGGGGUCAACUCGGAGGAAGGUGGGGACGACGUCAAAUCAUCAUGCCCCUUAUGUCUUGGGCUUCACGCAUGCUACAAUGGCCGGUACAAAGGGUUGCGAUACUGUGAGGUGGAGCUAAUCCCAAAAAGCCGGUCUCAGUUCGGAUUGAGGUCUGCAACUCGACCUCAUGAAGUUGGAGUCGCUAGUAAUCGCAGAUCAGCAACGCUGCGGUGAAUACGUUCCCGGGCCUUGUACACACCGCCCGUCAAGUCACGAAAGUU